rnacentral:lncRNA from 1 species
CGGCAUUGUAUUUGUAAAAAAUGCAGUAUUUUGGACUUUAAUCACAGAUGAUUUUGUACGUGUCACGUUUUUAUACUUAACGAAGAACAAAAUUUUAUUUUUAUUUGUUUGCUUGUUUGUUUUGCAGUUCUCUCAUGGAUAAUUAAAGUUAUCCUCAAGAUCUGAAGUAAUUACAUUGUGAGAGCUGUAGACAUGGAAAAUAUGAGACGAAAUGACUCUCUGGUCUCCAACACAUUGGAGCUUCAGUCCAGAAUGAGCAAUGCCAUUCGUCGCAGGUUCUCCGGGCCACUCCUGCUUCCACCUUUGGCCCGCAGGCACUCCGCCUUGGAUGGCAAGAAGUUAAAGGACCUAGAAGCACUGUAUAAAUCAGCCCUGGCUUGCGGGGAUGUCCAAAAGGAAACCGAGUGAGUCAUCUUACACACCAUAACAUUCUCUGCCAACUAGAUUUAGGUGGCUGAUAGAAGUGUACAAAAUCCCAACUGAUGUGACUGUAGCUACUCUUCAAUAGACUUCUGAUCAUUGAAGUACAUCCUUAGAAAUCAAAGACAUACUGCUGCUGUCACGUGCCGAGUGGUUUCCAAAAUGGACACUGAGUGUGCAGUUACUGACACUGUGAGCAAAAUGUGACUCAGGUCAAUCAUGAAGCUUGUUGUUUUUAUGAAUAAGCCGACAUGGCAUGCACCACAGUAAGUGCGUUUGUUAAAUGUUACUGAAGGGGUAUACGAAGAUCUGUUCUUUUAUAGGGCAUGAAGAGAACUAUGUACAGUAUGGAAUGAUUUUUAUUUUUUUGGAGUGUUACUUCUGAUACAUUUUCCUCUUUUGUAUCUAAUGAAUUUUAAUCACUUGAAUAACUUGUUAAAAUAACCUGGGAAAGCAAAUAAAAGAAAAAUCAUGGAGAUUUGAGCAGAGGGUGAGAACAACUCCUCGGUGCUUCUACUCUGUUUACUGAUCUGAUAAAAAGGGCACAGUGACUCGUAGUGAGAUCAUAUGAAUACUGAGACAGACAUUCAACACAUAGCAUCCCACUAUGAACACACUAGCAUGCUGUAUUUAACUUUUUACGAAAUGUUCACUGGAACACCUUAUUGAGUUUGUGCUGCCACAGCUUGUCUAAUGAGGUCUGUUCCUGCAGAGGGGAAAAAACAUUUCACAUCAGCUUAUAAAAUGGUCAAGUUUGUUUUUGGAACAUAGCAGCUGGUUUGUUACACGAAGGUGGUCUACCAGCUUUAACCAGAUUUAUCAAGGUCUCUCAGGUUGAUCACAGUCCCACCAGCUGGUAGUCCAUUUUCUAAAUCAGCCUGAAGCAGUCCAUGUCGAGAAAUGGCCAGCGUGUUCCAGCAAAAACCCACAAAACACCUACUAGAAGCUACAACAUAUAAAAAGGUUACCAUAUGCAAUUACAUUAUUACUAUUCUUCAAUACAUACAGUACAUACUUUUUUAUGUGACCAAUUGUGACCAAUCAUACGUAAUCACCAUUUAAAAACAACAAAAAUAAUGUUUCGCGAAAUUUCCUACCCAGUCCUACAUCCUCC